GUGGGGAAUUUUGGACAAUGGGCGAAAGCCUGAUCCAGCAAUGCCGCGUGUGUGAAGAAGGCCUUUUGGUUGUAAAGCACUUUAAGCGAGGAGGAGGCUACCGAGAUUAAUACUCUUGGAUAGUGGACGUUACUCGCAGAAUAAGCACCGGCUAACUCUGUGCCAGCAGCCGCGGUAAUACAGAGGGUGCAAGCGUUAAUCGGAUUUACUGGGCGUAAAGCGCGCGUAGGUGGCCAAUUAAGUCAAAUGUGAAAUCCCCGAGCUUAACUUGGGAAUUGCAUUCGAUACUGGUUGGCUAGAGUAUGGGAGAGGAUGGUAGAAUUCCAGGUGUAGCGGUGAAAUGCGUAGAGAUCUGGAGGAAUACCGAUGGCGAAGGCAGCCAUCUGGCCUAAUACUGACACUGAGGUGCGAAAGCAUGGGGAGCAAACAGGAUUAGAUACCCCUGUAGUCC
rnacentral:rRNA from 1 species